GAUGAACGCUGGCGGCGUGCUUAACACAUGCAAGUCGAACGGAGAAUUGAAGCUUGCUUUAAUUCUUAGUGGCGGACGGGUGAGUAACGCGUGGGUAACCUGCCCUUAAGUGGGGGGACAACAGUUGGAAACGACUGCUAAUACCGCAUAAAGUUAAGAGCCUGCAUGGGCUUUUAACCAAAGGAGUAAUCCGCUUUUGGAUGGACCCGCGUCUGAUUAGCUAGUUGGUGAGGUAACGGCUCACCAAGGCGACGAUCAGUAGCCGGCCUGAGAGGGUGAUCGGCCACACUGGGACUGAGACACGGCCCAGACUCCUACGGGAGGCAGCAGUGGGGAAUCUUCCGCAAUGGACGAAAGUCUGACGGAGCAACGCCGCGUGAGGGAUGAAGGCCUUCGGGUUGUAAACCUCUGUCUUCAGGGAAGAAAAAAAUGACGGUACCUGAGGAGGAAGCCCCGGCUAACUACGUGCCAGCCGCCGCAGUAA
rnacentral:rRNA from 1 species